rnacentral:rRNA from 1 species
AACGAACGCUGGUGGUAUGCUUAACACAUGCAAGUCGAACGAGUAUGGCCUAGCUUGCUAGGACCCAGCUAGUGGCGCACGGGUGAGUAAUAUAUAGUUAAUCUGCCCUAGAGAAAGGGAUAACGUUUGGAAACGAACGCUAACACCUUAUAUGCCUUUAAGACAAAAGUCUGCAAGGGAAACAUUUAUGGCUCUAGGAUGAGACUGUACGGUAUCAGUUAGUUGGUGAGGUAAUGGCUCACCAAGACAAUGACGCCUAACUGGUUUGAGAGGAUGAUCAGCCACACUGGAACUGAGGCACGGUCCAG